CACAAAUAUUUCCUUGUUACUAAUUAUGAGAUUUUCAGGUAAGUUAUUGAGCUAUUUCUGUUUGAUUUGUUAGGAGAUUAGUUUUGUCCGUUUACAAGUUAACAUUGCUUGUGUUAUUCUUGGCAAGUAAUCAUUUCUUAUAUAAAUUUUUGUACACUAUAGGCUUAUCUUUUUAAAUUUUAGGUAGCACAACGUAUAAAAUCAUAAGAAAUGUUUUCUGGUGGUCUGUAGCAGUUAACCGCAUUUAAGUAAAAAUAUUUUAAAAUAAUUGUUACCAGAGCUGAAUUACAUUGAGGCUUGUGGAGAACAGCUUUUUUUUAUCUACUCUUUGGCUGGCCAAUGUAAAUAAGCAAUGAUUUCGUGAAUGCAGCGAGAGAGUUUUUUUGAUGUAUUUUAAAAUCACUGAUAAUAUUUAUUGAUGUAUUUUAAAAUCACUGAUAAUAUUUAUUGAUGUAUUUUAAAAUCACUGAUAAUAUUUGUUUUGUGGCUGGAAGAUGGUAACCAUGGUGACUUGUGAAUUUUUAUGAAGAUUAAUAAAAAGCAGUAAAAAUUA